rnacentral:rRNA from 1 species
UACGGAGGAUCCGAGCGUUAUCCGGAUUUAUUGGGUUUAAAGGGUGCGUAGGUGGCCUGUUAAGUCAGGGGUGAAAGACGGUAGCUCAACUAUCGCAGUGCCCUUGAUACUGAUGGGCUUGAAUGAACUAGAGGUAGGCGGAAUGUGACAAGUAGCGGUGAAAUGCAUAGAUAUGUCACAGAACACCAAUUGCGAAGGCAGCUUACUAUGGUUUUAUUGACACUGAGGCACGAAAGCGUGGGGAUCAAACAGGAUUAGAUACCCAGUAGUCC